AUUGAACGCUGGCGGCAUGCCUUACACAUGCAAGUCGAACGGUAACGGGCCUUCGGGUGCCGACGAGUGGCGAACGGGUGAGUAAUGUAUCGGAACGGUACCUUUCAGUGGGGGAUAACGUAGCGAAGGUUACGCUAAUACCGCAUAUUCUGUGAGCAGGAAAGCAGGGGAUCGCAAGACCUUGCGCUGAUUGAGCGGCCGAUAUCAGAUUAGCUAGUUGGUGAGGUAAAGGCUCACCAAGGCGACGAUCUGUAGCGGGUCUGAGAGGAUGAUCCG
rnacentral:rRNA from 1 species